UACGUAGGGGGCUAGCGUUGUCCGGAAUCAUUGGGCGUAAAGCGCGUGUAGGCGGUCCGGUAAGUCCGCUGUGAAAACUCGAGGCUCAACCUCGAGCUGUCGGUGGAAACCGCGUGGCUAGAGUCCGGAAGAGGGGACUGGAAUUCCCGGUGUAGCGGUGGAAUGCGCAGAUAUCGGGAGGAACACCCGUGGCGAAGGCGGGUCCCUGGGACGGUACUGACGCUGAGACGCGAAAGCGUGGGGAGCGAACAGG
rnacentral:rRNA from 1 species